rnacentral:lncRNA from 1 species
AUGUCAUUGAGAAAGACCCCUUUCAACUUGACUAUGAGUCAAAUAGGGAAGAAAAGUUCCUAGGAGGAGAAAUUAAACCCCAGACUUCAUUUUUCAAGAAAUUCAUCAGAGGCUCAAACCUCAAACUCAGGUCCCCCAAAACUGAAAGAAAAAUGACCUUAAAAUAACUGAUUUCCAACCCAGUGACAAGAAACUGAGGCCAAUCCCCUUAGACACUGGUACAUUUCUGACUGCUGUAAUUUCUUUAUUAUUUAGAGAAAUGUUCUCCCCUAAAGCGUUCACACGGGUCAAAUGAAACCUAAUCUGAAACCUAAUCUGGUGAAUUUCUGUUAUAAAUAUUUUGUUAAAUGAUUUAAAUAAUUAGCUCAUUUUACUUUUAAAUUAUCAAAAGAAACUAUCCUAUUUCCCUUCAUUCUAACGCAAAUGGUCAUUUCUUCUAUCCUUUUCAGGUUUUUAUUCAUAUGUUUGCAUUUAUGUUCAACCAACCAGUCAACAAACAUUGAGUACCUAUUAUGUGCCAGCUACUGUUGUGUUAGAAAUAAAGCCAUGAAAGACACCUUCUGAGAGUUCUCUGGUGGCUCAGAGUUAAGGACCUGGCAUUGUCGCUGCUGUGGCUUGGGUCACUGGUGUGGCAUGAGUUCAAGCCCUGACUCAAGAACUUCCAGAUGUCACAGGUGCCCUCCCCCCAAGAAAGAGGAACUUCUUUACCAAAAAAGAACCAAAAGAACCAAAAGCAGACAUAAUUUCAGUGUGAUAAAUUGAAUGAAGGAAAACAAAGCAGGCUAAAGAAAUAAGAGAAUGAUGGGAGAGGUGUAUUAUUUUAGAUGCAGUUGGAAGGAAGGUGUUUGAUUUGGUAGCAUCUGUGCAGAGCUGUAAAUAAAGUCAGUCAUGUAGAAUGAGUGAAUGAAGCCAGCCAUAUAGAUAUGUAUGGUAGUAACUUUCCAGGCAAAUGGAUCUGUAAAUGCCAAGGCCCAAGAUGAGAGGGAGCCAGAAAGUUAGGGAUGCUGAAGUGGGCCAAGAGAUGGAGAGAGGAUGAGAAAAGCAGACCAGCAAGAGAGGGAGCUGGGGCCAGAAUGGACAUCCUUUGCAUGGUUAUAAUAGCUGAGAAAGCCCUCUUGAGCUUCCAUGGAGCUGUGAUCCUACUUCUGGGACAUAUCAUCACACUGCGCAAUUCUCACAUUGCUGCAUGCCGUUCACAUGCCUGAUUUUAACAACUGCAUACUAUUCCAUUGCAUGCAUAUGUCAUAAUUAAGUUCCCUUUUUUGCCCUUUAGGGAAUAUCUUUAGCUUUCCCUCUCCCCUAUGUUCUGCUUCACUGUAUUUCAGCUAUUUUUUAAGUAUAAAUUCCCAGAACAGAGAUUACAAGUUCAAGAGUUAUGAAAAUAAAUAUUGCCAAAUCUCUCAAAAGUUAUGCAUCACCUACAAUACCAUAAAUAUAUUAUCUAUUAGAUUAAAUGUAAUUUUGAAGCAUUUUAAGGUUUUUAUGUGAACAUACACAAAAAAGAACAGUAUGAAGUUCCCUCCCUCUAACAAUUAUCAACCUGUGGCCAAUCUUGUUUUCUUUAUAUCUACCCUCAUUUCCAUCAGAGUAUUUGCACCAAACACCAAAACUAUUUUACCUGUAAGCAGAUUGAAUAUAUUUGUGGAAAUAGAAAGUUUAAAGAUUCACCUCUAAAAGAAGGCAAUCAGAAAGUUGUUGAUAUUUGUUCUAAAGUAUGAUUUGGAGGUUCAGGAACAUGGUUAAUGAAUACCCAUAACCAUGAUAAAAUUAACAGCGCAAGACUAGCCAGCUGGAUAGCCUGGCUGGGCAACAUCAGACCCUUGGGCUGUGUGUGGCUCCUCCAUUUCCAUUUCUUCCCAAAUUCAGUGGCUCCUGGAGUCAUGCUAAUUCUGUCCCCCAAAUGGCUCUGGGACCUGGCUCCUCCUCUCCAUUGCUGUCCUGGAUUUCCUUGCCUCUUGCCUGGACCACUGCCACAGCUUCCUAACUGCUUUCUUGGCUCCUGGUCUUGCUCUCUCACCAGCCUGCCCUCCACACUGCCACCCUGGGGGGCUUUUCCUAAGCCACACAUAACAAUGGUGUUUUCUCACUUGCUCAAAAUCCUUCCCUGAGUCUUUCUUGCCUUGAAGAGAAAAUCUACACUCCCAAGCAUGGUCUUCAAGGUGUUUGUGGUCAGUUGGAUAUCUCUUCAUGACCUCUGCUUUCCCCCAACCUCAUGUUCAUCCUCUACUCCUGACAUUCUGACUUAUUUGCAGUUUCCUGAACUGGCCACAUUCCCCCAAAGUGCCGCCCUCUGCCUGGCAAGGCUUUCCUUUGUGUCACCUUUCUCCCUCGGCACCUCCCUGUUUUUUCCUCCUUCAUGUCUACCCAUCUGGCUCCCACCAACUUAUCCUGUCAGGUGCAAUUUAUCCACUGCUCCUGCUUGGAAGCUUGCCAAGACCCACCCACCAGAUCUGAGGUACUGUCGCUGCCACAGGCCCCCAUGCACCCCUUGCAUCCCCCACCAUUGUACUUCUCCUCUUACUGUGACUGCGGCUCUCUCAUCUGUCUCUGACAUUUGACAGGUAGCUCCUUGACAAGAGGAACUUAUCUUGGUUCCCUGUAUGGCACCAUCCAUGUUACAAACAUAUAACAAUAUUUUAUGAACGCAUUGGGAUUCUUGCUCAUGAACAAUGGAAACAAAGCCCUACAUAAUUAGCUUGGAAAGGAAGCUAAUGAGAAGACACUGCUUAGCUCACAGAAUCACCUGGAGAAGCAAGAGCUUGGUUGAGCCGUAAAGCAGCCAGAAAAGGCCUCAAAUUUCUCCAUGGAUCUGCUCAUGUGUGAUCACUUUGCACCCUCCCCAGAGCACCAGCCCUCCCAUCUCAGCCAAUCUGUAGCAGCUCUCAUUCAUCUGUUUUGGAUAUUGAGCUGUGAUUUAAGCUCAAUAGAAAGAAAGUUUCAUAGGUUAAAAAAGGAAAGAAAUACAUGGCUUGUAAGAUUCCAGGGGCCUUAUAAAUCGGUACUCUUAUUUAACUUUUAGCAUAAUUUUGAGAAAGAUUUAUCAUGUUGCUUUUGAUAAUUGAAUAACUAUAAAACUAAUAUUCAUUCACUCAUUCAUUCAUUGCUUUUUGUUCAUUCAACAAAUGUUUACAAAGUACCUCCCAUGUAAAACACAUGGCAGGAGUUUUCAUCAUGGCUCAGCAGAAACAAAUCUGACUAGACCCAUGAGGACACAGAUUCAGUCCCUGGCCUUGCUCAUUGGGUCAAGGAUCCGGCAUUGCCAUGAACUGUGGUGUAGUAGGUUGCAUAUGCAGCUUGGAUCUGGCAUUGCUGUGGCGUAGGCCAGCAGCUACAUCUCCAAUUCGACCCCUAGCCUGGGAACCUCCU